rnacentral:lncRNA from 1 species
UGGGUUUGGCCUAGCAUACAAUAUGAGAAAUGCUCAUAUUCGGUGUUAAAUGCUUCGUAAAGUUGAAAUUCUUGCAUUUUCAUGUUAAAUGUAUUUAUUAUGAAUUUUAGAAUGCUUAACAUGCAUAGGUUAUGUGUAGUAAAUUUUGGGACCUCUACAUAGUAGAGAGCAUGCACGUGUGGCCUAGCAUUCUAGGUGAGACUUGAAAUUAUAAUCCCUAUUAUGAAAACGAACCUCGCUUUCAUGCAUUCAAACCAUAUACUAGAUGUGACAUUAGGGAUUUUUGAAAGCCUAGAGAGGCUUAGGGACUUAGAUGAAAUGUGAGAUUGGGCCUAUGCCAUGAAGAGGCAUUGGGGCCCGGGGCAUAGUGAGCAUUAAUGUUAAUGUCUUAUUUGGAACAUGAUUAGUUGUGGAGCUUAAGUGUCAUAAAGAGGCACUAAGCAAGUGUGUGUUGGGACUUCACAUGAUGACUUUGAACUAGAUCUUCGGGAUACUAGUGACUAUACCAUGUUAGAGACAUGAGGAUUGAGUACUUGAGACUUUGACCUUGCUUGUUUGCCAUUUGUGCUCAUUCGCACAUGCUUGUGAGGGUCGCUCCCUACAAGCCGGCACUCCGGAGUUAGCCUAUGCGACCUAUGUUCGCUCGUGCGGUAUUGAGAAGCCUACGGGGUCGAGUGGGACAGACACAUUCCAAGAGUAGGAAUGUCGGGCUACCACAGGCACUUAGGCGGCACAAGCUGGACUACCUUUGGUAGGUCCUUAAUUGGAAAUGAAAAUCGAUACGGUGUUGAGAAUGGUUAAUCACUACUAGAUAGGUUUAGUAGUCGAAUUACAUUUAUAUGCUUUUAGCAUAGUGUUGAGACAUGUAGUAUACUUGAUAGUCUCCUUUUUGCAUUAAAGCAUGUUUGGAUGCCAUGACAGAACUUGCAUACUGUAUUCAUAAAGAUUAAUAACAUACUAUUUUGAUAUCGUAGAUGUACAUCACCAUGACAUCGUUAUACUUGAGUUUAGUAAGCUAGCAUUUUAAUUAUGCCUUUAUAUUGCUAUCAUUAUUGUACUUACCCUUUUCU